rnacentral:rRNA from 1 species
UUGGCUCAGAACGAACGCUGGGGGCAUUCCUAACACAAACAAGUUGAAAGAGGCCCUUCGGGGUUUAGUGGCGCGGGGGUGCGUGACGGGUGGGAAUUUCCCCUUUGGUUUGGAACAACAGCUGGAAACGGUUGGUUAUUCCGGGUGAUUACAGAUGAGUCCAAAGAUUUAUCGCCAGAGGAUGAGCCCGCGUUGGAUUAGGUAGUUGGUGGGGUAAAGGCCCCCCAAACCGGAGAUCCAUAGGGGGUUUGAGUGGAUGAUAAACCUCCCAGGGCCGGGGACCCGGCCCAGAUUCCUAUGGGGGGCAGCAUUGGGGAAUCUGGGGCAAUGGGAACAAGCCGGGCCCAGCAAUCCCGCGUGAGUGACGAAGGCCCCAGGGUUGCAAAUCUGUUUUACCCGGGAAGAUAAAGACUGUACCGGGAGAAUAAGCCCCGGCUUACUUCGUGCCCCCAGCC